UGGAGACACCAUGUCUUCCAAGAGAACAGUUGCGUUACCUGAACUGCAAGAAGAAGAUGAAGAAGACGCUUACCCUGAGCAAAAUCGUCAAUCACAGUUUCAAGUGCAAAUAAUAGUAACUCCUAGCCAAGGUUGUGAUAGAGGAGCUGAAAUUCGUGUUGUGGGUGGCACGCCAAGAAAUACAAAUCGAAAACUUCCUCCGAUACAUGGACAUGAUCAAUCUCGAGCGAAUGAGUCUCCAUCUGGUGCAACCUCAAACAACUUGCAUGGCAGAGGCUGCCAUGGUUUAAUUUUCAAAGGCUCAACAAAGCAUGGUGGUUAUCGCAGUAUAGGCAGAAAAACUGA